rnacentral:tRNA from 1 species
GAGGCUGUAGCUCAGUGGUAGAGCGCUUGCCUCGCACACGUGAGGCCCUGGGUUCAAUCCUCAGCCCCA